UCCUGAGAGCAUGUGCCCAUGGUGGU
rnacentral:piRNA from 1 species